CCUACGGGAGGCAGCAGUGAGGAAUAUUGGUCAAUGGCCGGAAGGCUGAACCAGCCAAGUCGCGUGAAGGAAGAAGGAUCUAUGGUUUGUAUACUUCUUUUAUAGGGGACUAAAGGUAUCCACGUGUGGAUCUUUGCGUGUACCCUAUGAAUAAGCAUCUGCUAACUCCGUGCCAGCAGCCGCGGUAAUACGGAGGAUGCGAGCGUUAUCCGGAUUUAUUGGGUUUAAAGGGUGCGUAUGUUGGUUUUUAAGUCAGCGGUGAAAGUUUGUGGCUCAACCAUAAAAUUGCCGUUGAAACUGGAAGACUUGAGUGUGUUUGAGGUAGGCGGAAUGCGUGGUGUAGCGGUGAAAUGCAUAGAUAUCACGCAGAACUCCGAUUGCGAAGGCAGCUUACUAAGCCAUAACUGACACUGAAGAACGAAAGCGUGGGGAUCAAACAGGAUUAGAUACCCUGGUAGUC
rnacentral:rRNA from 1 species